rnacentral:lncRNA from 1 species
AUCAGUCGUCAUUUCCUGUGUUAGUUUUCAUGUAUAUUUUCGGUAUGGAUGAAUUCGAUAAAAAAAACACAACAUUAUCAGAUCACAUCAUCAGGGAACUGAAAGGUGGACUUGGGGAAAUGAAGUUGCAGUCUAUGGUCCUGUUUGCCCUGUGUUGUAGGACAAAAUCUGAAGAAGCUUCUUCUCUGCACAUCAACUGAAAUUAAGAAGAUGUUUGAGAACAUCAAAAAUGACAGUCAAAAUACAGCAAUGGAAAAUAAGACUGCUGGUUGUCCAAGAGUGAUAUUAACCCCAUCAUAAAUUACCUUCUUGAAAAACAAAAAAAAGACAGACUGAGAGGAAGGGUUUCAAUGAUGGCACAGACUCAAUUAUAGGUCUACCAGCUACCCCAACCAAAGAAGUUUCUGUAAAGAAAGGAGUACUUCCAACCCAGCUCUGUUUCGUUAUACUGUGCAUAUGGCAGAAGUGGUAUAAGGAAAUAAUAUAAUUGACAGCAACAACAACAAAAAGUUAUGAAUUUUUCCAUUGAUUUGUGGUGGAGGGGAUAAUAUUGUUGUCAGUUUGAGAAGUAGAAGAAAAAGUAAAUGACUCGGAUCAAAAACCUUUUCUGAACAGAUUGAGAAAACAGAAGUCUACAAAACAGAUCAAAGAUGAUAAAAAGGACGAUGUUUAUGCUCUGGAAAGAAAAAGAUGCUGUUGGAAAUAGAGGACAUUAAGUAAAAGAAAAGCAAAGACCAACAGCUAUUUCUGUUAGAAAAAU